rnacentral:rRNA from 1 species
CAGCCGCCACGGUAAUACGAAGGGUGCAAGCGUUAAUCGGAAUUACUGGGCGUAAAGCGUGCGUAGGCGGUGAGUUAAGUCUGCUGUGAAAUCCCCGGGCUCAACCUGGGAAUGGCAGUGGAUACUGGCUCGCUAGAGUGUGUCAGAGGAUGGUGGAAUUCCCGGUGUAGCGGUGAAAUGCGUAGAGAUCGGGAGGAACAUCAGUGGCGAAGGCAGCCCCCUGGGCCAAUACUGACGCUCAUGCACGAAAGCGUGGGGAGCAAACAGGAUUAGAUACCCCGGUAGUCCCUGUCUCUUAUAC